AUACGGAGGGGGCAAGCGUUGUUCGGAAUUACUGGGCGUAAAGGGCGCGCAGGCGGCUGCUCAAGUCAGGCGUGAAAGGCCUGGGCUCAACCCGGGAAUUGCGCUUGAGACUGGGCUGGCUUGAGUGCGGGAGAGGAUUGGUGGAAUUCCCAGUGUAGAGGUGAAAUUCGUAGAUAUCUGGAGGAACACCGGUGGCGAAGGCGGCAUCCUGGACCGGUAUUGACGCUGAGGCGCGAAAGCCAGGGGGAGCAACGGGG
rnacentral:rRNA from 1 species